rnacentral:rRNA from 1 species
CCUACGUGAUCUGAGUUCAGACCGGAGUAAUCCAGGUCAGUUUCUAUCUAUAAGAAGUCUUCUCUAGUACGAAAGGACCGAAAAGACAUAGCCCCUACACUAGCAAGCUAUCCUCACCAAUUUAUGACUCAUACUCAAUAGAUUACUAGUUCAACACCUAGCCUUAGAAAAAGGCC